rnacentral:rRNA from 1 species
GGGUUGUGAGGUUAAGCGACUAAGCGUACACGGUGGAUGCCCUGGCAGUCAGAGGCGAUGAAGGACGUGCUAAUCUGCGAUAAGCGUCGGUAAGGUGAUAUGAACCGUUAUAACCGGCGAUUUCCGAAUGGGGAAACCCAGUGUGUUUCGACACACUAUCAUUAACUGAAUCCAUAGGUUAAUGAGGCGAACCGGGGGAACUGAAACAUCUAAGUACCCCGAGGAAAAGAAAUCAACCGAGAUUCCCCCAGUAGCGGCGAGCGAACGGGGAGCAGCCCAGAGCCUGAAUCAGUGUGUGUGUUAGUGGAAGCGUCUGGAAAGGCGCGCGAUACAGGGUGACAGCCCCGUACACAAAAAUGCACAUGCUGUGAGCUCGAUGAGUAGGGCGGGACACGUGGUAUCCUGUCUGAAUAUGGGGGGACCAUCCUCCAAGGCUAAAUACUCCUGACUGACCGAUAGUGAACCAGUACCGUGAGGGAAAGGCGAAAAGAACCCCGGCGAGGGGAGUGAAAAAGAACCUGAAACCGUGUACGUACAAGCAGUGGGAGCACGCUUAGGCGUGUGACUGCGUACCUUUUGUAUAAUGGGUCAGCGACUUAUAUUCUGUAGCAAGGUUAACCGAAUAGGGGAGCCGAAGGGAAACCGAGUCUUAACUGGGCGUUAAGUUGCAGGGUAUAGACCCGAAACCCGGUGAUCUAGCCAUGGGCAGGUUGAAGGUUGGGUAACACUAACUGGAGGACCGAACCGACUAAUGUUGAAAAAUUAGCGGAUGACUUGUGGCUGGGGGUGAAAGGCCAAUCAAACCGGGAGAUAGCUGGUUCUCCCCGAAAGCUAUUUAGGUAGCGCCUCGUGAAUUCAUCUCCGGGGGUAGAGCACUGUUUCGGCAAGGGGGUCAUCCCGACUUACCAACCCGAUGCAAACUGCGAAUACCGGAGAAUGUUAUCACGGGAGACACACGGCGGGUGCUAACGUCCGUCGUGAAGAGGGAAACAACCCAGACCGCCAGCUAAGGUCCCAAAGUCAUGGUUAAGUGGGAAACGAUGUGGGAAGGCCCAGACAGCCAGGAUGUUGGCUUAGAAGCAGCCAUCAUUUAAAGAAAGCGUAAUAGCUCACUGGUCGAGUCGGCCUGCGCGGAAGAUGUAACGGGGCUAAACCAUGCACCGAAGCUGCGGCAGCGACACUAUGUGUUGUUGGGUAGGGGAGCGUUCUGUAAGCCUGUGAAGGUGUACUGUGAGGUAUGCUGGAGGUAUCAGAAGUGCGAAUGCUGACAUAAGUAACGAUAAAGCGGGUGAAAAGCCCGCUCGCCGGAAGACCAAGGGUUCCUGUCCAACGUUAAUCGGGGCAGGGUGAGUCGACCCCUAAGGCGAGGCCGAAAGGCGUAGUCGAUGGGAAACAGGUUAAUAUUCCUGUACUUGGUGUUACUGCGAAGGGGGGACGGAGAAGGCUAUGUUGGCCGGGCGACGGUUGUCCCGGUUUAAGCGUGUAGGCUGGUUUUCCAGGCAAAUCCGGAAAAUCAAGGCUGAGGCGUGAUGACGAGGCACUACGGUGCUGAAGCAACAAAUGCCCUGCUUCCAGGAAAAGCCUCUAAGCAUCAGGUAACAUCAAAUCGUACCCCAAACCGACACAGGUGGUCAGGUAGAGAAUACCAAGGCGCUUGAGAGAACUCGGGUGAAGGAACUAGGCAAAAUGGUGCCGUAACUUCGGGAGAAGGCACGCUGAUAUGUAGGUGAAGUCCCUCGCGGAUGGAGCUGAAAUCAGUCGAAGAUACCAGCUGGCUGCAACUGUUUAUUAAAAACACAGCACUGUGCAAACACGAAAGUGGACGUAUACGGUGUGACGCCUGCCCGGUGCCGGAAGGUUAAUUGAUGGGGUCAGCGCAAGCGAAGCUCUUGAUCGAAGCCCCGGUAAACGGCGGCCGUAACUAUAACGGUCCUAAGGUAGCGAAAUUCCUUGUCGGGUAAGUUCCGACCUGCACGAAUGGCGUAAUGAUGGCCAGGCUGUCUCCACCCGAGACUCAGUGAAAUUGAACUCGCUGUGAAGAUGCAGUGUACCCGCGGCAAGACGGAAAGACCCCGUGAACCUUUACUAUAGCUUGACACUGAACAUUGAGCCUUGAUGUGUAGGAUAGGUGGGAGGCUUUGAAGUGUGGACGCCAGUCUGCAUGGAGCCGACCUUGAAAUACCACCCUUUAAUGUUUGAUGUUCUAACGUUGACCCGUAAUCCGGGUUGCGGACAGUGUCUGGUGGGUAGUUUGACUGGGGCGGUCUCCUCCUAAAGAGUAACGGAGGAGCACGAAGGUUGGCUAAUCCUGGUCGGACAUCAGGAGGUUAGUGCAAUGGCAUAAGCCAGCUUGACUGCGAGCGUGACGGCGCGAGCAGGUGCGAAAGCAGGUCAUAGUGAUCCGGUGGUUCUGAAUGGAAGGGCCAUCGCUCAACGGAUAAAAGGUACUCCGGGGAUAACAGGCUGAUACCGCCCAAGAGUUCAUAUCGACGGCGGUGUUUGGCACCUCGAUGUCGGCUCAUCACAUCCUGGGGCUGAAGUAGGUCCCAAGGGUAUGGCUGUUCGCCAUUUAAAGUGGUACGCGAGCUGGGUUUAGAACGUCGUGAGACAGUUCGGUCCCUAUCUGCCGUGGGCGCUGGAGAACUGAGGGGGGCUGCUCCUAGUACGAGAGGACCGGAGUGGACGCAUCACUGGUGUUCGGGUUGUCAUGCCAAUGGCACUGCCCGGUAGCUAAAUGCGGAAGAGAUAAGUGCUGAAAGCAUCUAAGCACGAAACUUGCCCCGAGAUGAGUUCUCCCUGACUCCUUGAGAGUCCUGAAGGAACGUUGAAGACGACGACGUUGAUAGGCCGGGUGUGUAAGCGCAGCGAUGCGUUGAGCUAACCGGUACUAAUGAACCGUGAGGCUUAACCUUACAACGCCGAAGGUGUUU